UGACAUGAGUUGCCUCUUCAUGGUUUCUGCU
rnacentral:piRNA from 1 species